GCAAUGAGAAGCCUGCACUGCAGCGAAAGGAAGCCCGCACUCGCUGCAACUAGGGAAAGCCAGCACACAGCAGCAAAGAGCCGGCACAGCAGAAAUGAAUGAAUGAAUGAAUGAGUAACAAACUAAGUUACUGGUGUUACAGAAGUUACAGUAGGCCUGAUGGUGAAGCUGAAACGCCAGUACUUUGGCCACCUCAUGGGAAGAGCUGACUCAUUUGAAAAGACCCUGAUGCUGGGAAAGACUGAAGGCAGGAGAAGAAGGGGACGACAGAGGAUGAGAUGGCUGGAUAACAUCACCAACUCAAUUGGGCAUGAGUUUGGGUAAACUCCAGGAGUUGGUGAUGGACAGGGAGGCCUGGCAUGCUGUGGUUCAUGGGGUCGCAAAGAGUCAAGACACGACUGAGCGACUGGAUUGAACUGAACAAAAUAAGAUUAAUAUAAAUCACGAGAGAUAAUUUGCAAAGAAGGCUAUUUAAAAUUGCGGCCGAGCAGUUCAUCCGUUACGAUAAUUCACUUUGGUGUAAAAUUCAAUUAUUACUGACAAAUAAAGGAAGAAAGCUGGUCAACCAGUUUAUAAAAUGCUGACAGAAAUACACAGUAAUUUAGAGAGCUUCUAUGCACAGUCUUCAAGAUGAACUGCCCUUACAACCUCCCAUUAUUGUUUCAACACAUCUUUCGGAAAUGGUUGGCCACAUAGAGAAAAGCUAUAAAGGUGCUUCAUCUGUGCAAGCAAAUUUCAGUGUUUCCAUGUCAAGUCCAAACUUUUCAAAUGCCUCACUGGCUGAUUUGUCAGAGUCCUUUCCCUUGAUAUCUCCCUGACGGUCCUUUCAUGGAUUAGGAUCUGCAGUUGAAUUGACAGGAAGCAUAAAAUUAAUAAAAACCUUCUGGAAACCCCACCUCCCAAGACUCUUGACAUUGUGUUUGCUAAUAUCCUGUUGACCAAGCCAAGAGUCAGUGUGGGAGAGGAUCAAAC
ensembl:lncRNA